CAAGAUGGUAACUAUUUCUUUGGAAGCAGAAAUGGGGGAAAACUUGAUUGUUGAUUCUUGUCUUCCAGAGCUGGAAUCUCCUUGGUUAUUGGCCUAUGUGCCUAUAAGAAGCUGCCACAGAGUGCUGCAGGACAAAUAUGGGGAGUUUUCUCCUCCAACAUUCCAUGCUGAUUUCCCUGUAAGCUUUUGGUGCAACUGGACCAUCUGGGCAGGCUCCAGGAAGUACAUCAUCAUUUAUAUCCGGGGAUUUGUUGCUAGGGAGGCGUGCAACAGAAAUGAGGACAAAAUUCUGUUUGAAGGAGUCUCUUCCCUGGUGGAAAACAGUGUUGUUUAUGCCUGCUGGAAAAAGGAGAUGCAUGUUUUUGCCACCUUUGCUCAGGCUGUCCAUGUUGUGCUGCUGAAGAGGUACUUGCCAAACCGGAGAGAUGCACAAUUUAAAGGGAAGUACUACAUCUUCCAAGAACAGCAAGAUGAUGAAAUUUCUGGAACUUCUGUUUCAAAACUGUCAAAGAAAGGUGGUAUUUUUCAGUCUGGCUGGGUAGAAGACUUUAGAGAUCCACUGGGCUUUGCAACCACACAUGGCAGCACCACCAUGAGAAGCAGUGAGCUGAGGCAGGGAAGGGGGAUCACUCUGGACACCAUGGCUGUGGGAAGUCCUACAGAACUUACCCUAGGUGAACAUGCAAGGACACAGGCUCUGGAAACAAAAGCUCUUUGUGGGCUGGGGGCUCAGGAAGUUCAAGGUAUUGGAGCACCUGAGGGAAUAAUCCCCACUGCAGCACGGGACAUCUUGGGGCAGAAUUCCUCCGUGGGUGAGGACAGCACUGUGAGCUUUGGUCCUGUGCACAGCAUGCUUUUGGAAACUCCUUUGCUUGGUGCCUUCCAGGGAGCAGAACCUUUUUGGCAGCCAGCAGAUGUGAGUCUGGAGAGCAGCCAGCCUGUCCUGAACCCUACCCUGAGGCCAAAAGGUCUGGGCCACCUGCAGUUUACAAUUAAACCAACAGGCACAGGUCACCUGGACUUGGCUGCACGCUCUGAGCCUCUGUCCCCAGGCACAGGACAAAGCCAGGAGGGCACAGGUCCCACCAGGGACAGCCAGCUCAGCACAGCCAGCCUGCAGAAGGAUGGAAGCAGUGCCCAGCUGAGUGUCCCAGCUGAUGGCCUCGCUGAGGGCCUGAUGCCCAGCCUGAGGAGCCCCAGUGAUGUGGUCACCAGGGACCACUUACAGCUGCUACCUGAGAGAAGUCAAAACAGUCUGGGGCAUCUGUGCAUGCCUAAACCUCAGCCAGGCACAACUGGCCUCCAACACACAAAGCUGGUAGAUGUUUUCCCACUGGGAUGUUCUAGGGGAGCUGUCAGGAGAACAGUGCUGCAUCCCACAGUGCCAGGGCUCGCUGUACCUGCUUUAGCAACAGGGCUGGAGCAUCCUCUCACACCUGUGCCUGCCCUGGGGACAGAAACAAUCCCUGUGCUGGUGACCUCCUCUGCAGCACCUGUCCCUGCAGAUUUUGGCUCUCUGGAUUUAAUCCCUGAAGCGCCUCUUCCUCCACAAGUGGAGUCUGUGUCCAUGGUGGCCUCUUUCCCAGCUGCUCUGGAUCAGGAUCCUGUCAGUCUCAGGCAAAGGGACACCUCCCCAGCUAGCCCAGGAGGACAGGACAUGAUCUUCCCUUCACCACCCUGCUAUCCAUCAGUAGCCUCUGAACUGGGCACUGAUGGGUCCUCCAGAUGCCUUGGCUCUAGGAUGCAAAAGUUGGUGCCUGGUGGACAGGCAGGUGGCCAGGGAGGCAAAACCACAGCCUCUGUGGGCUUGAUGGCCAGGAGUCCCUCCCCAGUCUUUGUCACUGUCCCAGGGCCUGGUGUGAGGCUUACUCAGCCUGAGGGCCAUGUCAGCAGUGGCUCUGGGGGGACACCAGCUUCCCUGGCUGGCACCAGAGAGGAGCACGAGGUGCCUGUGCAGCAUCAGCACAGUGCUGCUAGUGACAAACCAGCUUCUGCCUCCAACUUCAGGGGAUUUAAAAUACAGGGAACCACAGAAACUGUGCCAGUGGGUUCAGGACAGAGGACAACUGCCUCCUUCAGCAUCACUCCUGCACAUGCUGAUCUGCCUGCAGCUCCGUGGGGAGAAACACUGCCAGGAGACCAACAGCCUUGGGAGCCCUCUGGUGUACCCAGGAACACCCAGGUGCCAGAAGGACAGCCAGAGAAACAUGCUGAGCUGGGCCCUCCCUGGGUAACCGAGUACUUUCCCAUCAGGAGCUGCCACCUCACCUUCCGGGGCGGGUCUGGCAUGUUUUACCUCCCUCUGCAUGCUGAGCCCAACACCUGGUGCAACUGGACCAUCUGGGCAGGCCCCCAGAAGCACAUUGUCAUCUAUGUCCAAGGGUUCCAGGGGAGCGACGGCUGUGGCAACAACCAGGACAAGAUCAUCUUCCAGGGGGUCUCGUCAAGUGUGGAAACCAAAGUGGUGUUUGCCUGCCACAACAGAGGCACUCUGAUCUUUGCUGCACAAGCCACAGAGGUCCAGGUGUUGUUUCUGUCAGGGAGUGGUUCCAGAAGCCAUGAAUACAGGUAUUUUAAAGGACAGUAUUAUGUAUUCAGGGACUCUGAAGCUGUGGGCUCUUCGAGUGAUACCGUAGCAGCUCCCCAGGAGACUGUCCAGGACACCUCUGGAAAAGAGAGCUGGAGGACAGCGGUGACCAAAGGUUUAUUGUCCAUGCUGACAGCUCCUCCAGGCCCACCUGCUGGAGGCAGGAUCCAACCUAACACUAUGAGCCCAAAAGAAGUGGCCCAACGUUCUCCUGAUCUCAUGGAAGGUGGUCAGCCUGGUGCUAACCUGAGCGAGCAUGGUCAGGAUGAAACCAGGCUGGAAAGGAACCUUAAGGAUGGUGGCAGCAAGGGCAGAGAACCUGAAGAAGACAUGUUGGUGGAGCCAGCUCCAGCUGGGCAAGACACUGAGGGUAAAGCUGAGCCACCUGCCUUGGAGCUGACCACAGGGGACACAGAGCCAGGGACUGCUCUGGCCACCAUGGUCCCGUGUCACCCAGCUGGCUCCCCUCGCUCAGAGAUGCCCAGCAGCAGUGUAGGUGUCUCUGAGACAUCACCUACCCUGGGUCAGACCAGUGACAGCCCCUCAGAAGUGGCAGCUGCUGCACACCACACACAGACACCAGUGCUGGCAGAGCCACCACUAGGCACCAGCACAAAAACACCCCUCUACCCCUCUCCUGGUGUGACUGCUGCUGACGUGGUGUCUCUGGGAGGAAGGACUGAAGACCUCUUUGGUCUGAUGUCAUCUGUGGAGAACAACACAGGAUUGCAUUCCCAGCACCAUCCUGGAGAUGUGCUGUUUGAAGUCACUGUUGAAAUCAAACCCAAGGACUGGAUUCCUCAUGGUGGAAGUGAGCUCCAAAAGGGUCUCCUUGAAUCUCUGAAGAAUCACAUCCAGAAGAACCUGAAGCUUUCUGCCAAUAGAGUCAGUGAAAUAAAGUUAAAGGAUGUCAAAAGGACGAGUGAUGCCAACCUGCUGCUCACCUUCUGGCUGCACCUGGAGCCGGAGGAAAGGAACGUGUCUCUGCUCCUGCGCUCCCAGCUGCAGCAGCUGCUUGGCACCUCGGUGGGUGCGGAGAAGCUGCAGCUUGUUUCACUGUUUGUUGAAGAUGUGAACGAGUGCCAGGCUGGGGUUGGUCUCUGUGGGGAGGAGGCAGAGUGCCUCAAUGGCGUGGGCACCUACCUGUGUCGCUGCAAGAAGGGCUAUGAGGAUCAUUCCCCCACCAAAUCCGGC
ensembl:lncRNA